UUUGAUACUAUCAUUUAAAAAAUGGAUGAGACUGGACAUCAUAAUUUCAUAUGUAAAAUAAGCCAGCAACAGAAAGACAAGGACCAUGUACUCUCACUCAUAUGUAAAAGCUUAAAAAAUUGAUAGAAGUAGAGAGGAAAACAGUGAUUUCCAGGAUCUGAGGAGGGAAGAGGGAGAGGAAUGGAAAAAGGGCAAUAAAUACAGUGGUGUAGCUGAAUGGGAAGAAUAACUUCUACCACUCUAUAACACAGUAGGUCAAUUAUAUUCUAUAGCAAUUUGUUAUAUAUUUCAAAAUAAAUGGAAAAGUUCAAAGGUUUCCAAUACAUAGAAAUAAAUGAUAAAUGUUGGAGGAUACAGUCAUGCCAAGCAAUGGUGAUGUACACCUUUAAUCCUAGCACUCAGGAGGCGGGCGGAUCUCUGUGAGUUUGAGGCCAGUCUGGUCUACAGAGCUAGGUCCAGGACUGCUAGGGCUGUUACACAGAGAAACCCUCUCGAAAAACCAAAAAGAAAAAAUAAAAAGAAAGAAAAAAAUGCUAAUCACCCUGAUUUGAUCAUCACAUGUUGUAUGUAAGUACCAAAGUUCCACACUGUAUUCCAUAAACGUGAACAAAUGUUAUGUCAAUUUAGAAAAUAAAAACAAAUCCCCCAAGAGAGGGCAGGCUGCUUGAACACACGGUACAUCUGAGACAUGGAGACAUUAAAUAGAUUUGUUAUAUAUUUGUGUCCCCCACCUCAGACUAUGACAGCUGACUACUGCUCAUACACAUGUCCCCUUCUGCUGCUUCUUCCUCAGAAUGCAGAAGGAAACCCCUUGGAUGAUAUUUCACUUCAUAUCUCACACACUUCUUCCAUCUGGGAAGUCCUUGAUUCCAAGCAUUCUCUUUGGGAGGUAGAAACAAGAUGGUUAUGGCCACAACUAACUAAAAUUUGGCUUUAUUAUUAAUGAGGCUACCUGUGGCCACCCUUCUGGGUCUUAGAGCUCGUGUCCCUUAGGAAAACCCAAGCAGCCUUUUCCCUCUUCAUCUUACAGAAAGAAUACCACACAGAACUCCCUGUGCAACACUCAGACCAAAGGACAACUUCUAUCCAGGAACAAUCCCAACCCUGUCUAAAGUCCUCUUUUCUCCUCUUCCUCUCUGAACAACCUUGUGGGGGGCUUCCUGAAGAUUGACUAGAACAUAAGAUUUAUGACAGAACUAUUGUUUUACAAACUGGUGAAUUACCAACAACUAGAAUAAUGCCUAUCUCAUACAGGCCUUCACUAAGUACCUGUUGAAUGCCAGAGCCUCACCCCAACCUCAGUAGAGCUACAUAUGUCUCCUAAGGACUUAAAGCUAGUACAAGGCAGAACCAAAAUUCAAGUCCAAGACUUUCCAGAUACAAAUCACAAUCUACACAAUCAUACUUAAUUGAGUAUCAUCUGAAAUGUACAAGACAUUCAGGAUAGCAAGGAAGGAAACCCCAUGAUUACAAAACUUCUCUGGUGACUCAUUUAGGUUAUGUACUAGGCACUAGGGAAUAAAGCCCAUGAUUCUUCCUUAAGGACCGGUAUGUGCAUGUCUAUGUGCAGUAUGAAUUCACACAUACAGAGAUGCAGAUAUUUAUGUACAAAUGCAAAUACAAGCACAUGCCGUGUAUGUAUAUAACAACAAAAAAUAACCUAUGUAUUUUGGAGGCGUUCAUUAGGUAGUAUGAAGAAUUAAAUGACUGAAAUGUUUGACAAAUGCAAUAGAAACCUAGAAGCUAAGGAAAUAAAAAGCAGCACUGAGAUUCCAUGAGAAGACAGAAGCUAAAGAAGACCCAGAGUAAUUCAAAAUGGUCCAUGAGACUAGAGGGAACAAAGGCAAAGUGAGGGGCAGGAACCAUAUGUAGAAAGAUGCAGAAGCAGAACAGCAGCACUGAGUGCAAUUCCCAACCAAAUCUAAUGACCUCAUCCUAUUUUCCCUUUUUCAUCUCCCCCUCUUCUUAUUUCUCUUCUUUGAAAAAUUUUUGCUUAUUUUACUGUUUUAUAUUCUGUAGCUCUAAGUAAUAUUUUGAUUGAAGAUAAUGUUCUAUAUUUCUUUGGAAAACACUGUUCAAACCCAACCUCCUUCUGCAGAAGGGAACCCAGAAAUUCUCAAAAUCCCUGAAUUAGCUUGUGGAGAACUGAGGACAGACCCUUGGUCUCCAGGAAUUGCCCCAGCCACUAUAUUAAACUUUACAGGUGUAAGAGGGUCAGAGACAGUGACCACUGAAGAAACAGCAACAUGAGGGCCAGAUCUCAGUGUCACCACAGAUAUAACAGUUACUCUGCAAUUACUGUGAAGUUUCAAUGGACAAACACAGAGAAACCCUUCGAAUACCACCUGUAGCCCACUGAGACCAGGUGCACUGUGAUGUCACUGUUUACGUGUGAGAAUCCCUAGAAGCUGGUCCCCCGGAGGAGCAUCUCAGGAGUCCCUUUUGUGGGUCUCCAAUCCUAAAUCUUCCCAGGCUCUGCAAAAAGAAGUCCUAAAGCCUCAGGUACUACAAACUAUCAAGAAGAAAGACCCCAUUCAGGAGGGAAGUCCAGGCUGGCAAUAAUACUCCUGGCUCUCUCCAGCCACCCUGAACUUUACUGCCUGAAACCUCUGUGCAGUGAAUAGUACAGAAUAGCAUGAACAGCACAAACUCUGCAAGCCUGGAACCCAGCUUUGUGACC